ACUUGGUAAGGGGCCUGCACGGGCAUAGCCCCCCCCAGCAAGACUCCGCACACACCCCGGCCACCCAGUCACUGGCCAAUGGGCUCCUAGGAAGAUCAAAUGUCACUAUAACACGAGGGUGUGAGCCGGGCGCCAGUGCCUGCAGCCGGUGCUGUCCACAGGGAGCUCCAGCCCUUCUCACACUCGACCCGCAGAAACCACCCACCUUCACCAUGUCUGACGAGGAAGUGUGAGUACCCAGCUGAGCAGUACGAAGAAGAAGGUAAUUCUGGCAACCACCGGAAAAGUCCAUGAGGAAGUUCAUGAACCAGGUACGUGCAUGACUUCGAUGCCACAUGGGCACACUCACUGCUCCUAAGAUCCCAGAAGGGGAGAAAGUGGACUUCGAUGACAUCCAGAAGAAGCGUCAGAACAAAGACCUAAUGGAGCUCCAGGCCCUCAUCGACAGCCACUUUGAAGCCCGGAAGAAGGAGGAGGAGGAGCUGGUCGCUCUCAAAGAGAGAAUCGAGAAGCGCCGUGCAGAGAGAGCGGAGCAGCAGAGGAUUCGUGCAGAGAAGGAGAGGGAGCGCCAGAACAGACUGGCGGGAGGAGGAGGAUGCCAAGAGGAGGGCAGAGGACGACCUGAAGAAGAAGAAAGCUCUGUCUUCCAUGGGAGCCAACUACAGCAGCUACCUGGCCAAGGCUGACCAGAAGAGAGGCAAGAAGCAGACAGCCCGGGAAAUGAAGAAGAAGAUUCUGGCUGAGAGACGCAAGCCGCUCAACAUCGAUCACCUUGGUGAAGACAAACUGAGGGACAAGGCCAAGGAGCUCUGGGAGACCCUGCACCAGCUGGAGAUUGACAAGUUCGAGUUUGGGGAGAAGCUGAAACGCCAGAAAUAUGACAUCACCACGCUCAGGAGCCGCAUUGACCAGGCCCAGAAGCACAGCAAGAAGGCUGGGACCCCAGCCAAGGGCAAAGUCGGCGGGCGCUGGAAGUAGAGAGGCCAGAAAGGCCCCUCGAGGCAGAGACCCUCCGCCCUCUUGCACACCAGGGCCGCUCGUGGGACUCCACAUCCUCCAGCCCCCACAAUCCUGUCAGGGGCUCCCUGACAGUCCUGGGGGUGGAGAGGCCAUCCCGGGGCGUCCCCCGCGUCUGUGUCCUUGCUGCCUUCAUCCCCUGGGGCCUGUGAAUAAAGCUGCAGAACC
rnacentral:lncRNA from 1 species